GCAAGUCGAACGGGCAUCGCGGCACUUCGGUCUGGCGGCGAGUGGCGAACGGGCUGUAGAUAAUGUAUCGGAACGUACCCUAGAGUGGGGGAUAACUCUCCGAAAGGAGGGCUAAUACCGCAUAUUCUAUGCGUAGGAAAGCAGGGGAUCGCAAGACCUUGUGCUCUAGGAGCGGCCGAUAUCAGAUUAGCUAGUUGGUGGGGUAAAGGCCUACCAAGGCGACGAUCUGUAGCGGGUCUGAGAGGAUGAUCCGCCACACUGGGACUGAGACACGGCCCAGACUCCUACGGGAGGCAGCAGUGGGGAAUUUUGGACAAUGGGGGCAACCCUGAUCCAGCCAUGCCGCGUGAGUGAAGAAGGCCUUCGGGUUGUAAAGCUCUUUCGGCCGGGAAGAAAUCGUGUGGGCUAAUACCCUGCAUGGAUGACGGUACCGGAAUAAGAAGCACCGGCUAACUACGUGCCAGCAGCCGCGGUAAUACGUAGGGUGCGAGCGUUAAUCGGAAUUACUGGGCGUAAAGCGUGCGCAGGCGGUUGAUUAAGACAGGCGUGAAAUCCCCGGGCUUAACCUGGGAACUGCGCUUGUGACUGGUCGGCUAGAGUACGGCAGAGGGGGGUGGAAUUCCACGUGUAGCAGUGAAAUGCGUAGAGAUGUGGAGGAACACCGAUGGCGAAGGCAGCCCCCUGGGCCGAUACUGACGCUCAUGCACGAAAGCGUGGGUAGCAAACAGGAUUAGAUACCCUGGUAGUCCACGCCCUAAACGAUGUCAACUAGGUGUUGGGAGGGUAAAACCUUUUAGUACCGUAGCUAACGCGUGAAGUUGACCGCCUGGGGAGUACGGCCGCAAGGUUAA
rnacentral:rRNA from 1 species